UACAGGGGGUGCAAACGUUGCUCGGAAUCAUUGGGCGUAAAGCGCACGUAGGCGGUUCGUUAUGUCGGAUGUGAAAGCCCUUGGCUUAACCGAGGAAGUGCAUCCGAAACUGGCGAGCUAGAGUACGAAAGAGGAUCGCGGAAUUCCCGGUGUAGAGGUGAAAUUCGUAGAUAUUGGGAAGAACACCGGUGGCGAAGGCGGCUAUCUGGACCGUAACUGACGCUGAGGCGCGAAAGCGUGGGGAGCAAACAGG
rnacentral:rRNA from 1 species